rnacentral:rRNA from 1 species
UACGUAGGGUGCGAGCGUUUAAUCGGAAUUACUGGGCGUAAAGCGUGCGCAGGCGGUUUUGUAAGCCGGAUGUGAAAUCCCCGGGCUUAACCUGGGAAUGGCAUUCGGGACUGCAAGGCUGGAGUGCGGCAGAGGAGACUGGAAUUCCUGGUGUAGCAGUGAAAUGCGUAGAUAUCAGGAGGAACACCGAUGGCGAAGGCAGGUCGCUGGGCUGACACUGACGCUCAUGCACGAAAGCGUGGGGAGCGAA